AACGAGAAGGAGAGAUGCAAAGUGCACGCACAAGGAAACAAAUGACGGAAGGGGGGAUGGAAGGAGAAAGAGUGUAUGUAUUUGCAGCGCAGAAUGAAACAUGAGCGAUCAUACCAGAACUAAUACAACAGAUUCUAUCAGAACUCCGCAAGUUAAGGGUGCUUGGGCGAGAGUAGUACUAGGAUGGGUGACCUCCUGCGAAGUUCUUAUAUUUCACCCAUUUUCUUGGGAAGUCCUCGUGUUGCACCCAUUUUUUAUGCAGACAAUUCUUUCGACGUUAAUGACUUGAAUUAUGGUCCGCAGGUUUAUUCCCAAAUGUGAGUCACGGUGCCGUGGCAUUUUACUUGAUAUUUGAACGAGAACGGGAGGUGCAAUGCGCACGCACAAGGAAACAAAUGACCGGAGGGGGAAGAAAGUUGAAGGAGUGCAUGUAUUUGCAGCGCGAAAUUAAACAGGUGCGAUCAUACCAGCACUAAUGAACCGAAUCACAUCAGAACUCUACAGUUAAGUGUGUUUGGGCGAGAGUAGUAAUCGGAUGGGUGACCUCUUAGGAAGUCCUCGUGUCGUACCAAUUUUUUUUCAGACAGGUCGUUCGACGUUACGCACGACUGGAAUAAUGGUCCGCUAGUUUAUACGCAAAUGUGAGUCAAGAAGCAGGGGCAUUUUAAUCGAUAUUAGAACGAGAAGGAGAGGUGCAGUGUGAAUGCACAAGGAAACAAAUGAUGGGAGGGGGCAGGGAAGGAGAAGGAGUGUAUGUAUUUUCAGCACGAAAUGAAACAGGUGCGAUCAUACCAGCACAAAAUGCACCGGAUCCCAUCAGUACUUUGCAGUUAAGUGUGCUUUGCAGAAAGUAGUACAAGGAUGGGUUACCUCCUGGGAAGUGCUCGCGUUGCACCAAUUUUUUUUUUCAGAUGGGUCGUUCGACGUUACGCGCGACUUGAACUAUGUUCCGCUGGUUUAUACACAAAUGUGAGUCAAGACGCAUGGGCAUUUUAAUCGAUAUUAGAACGCGAAUGAAAGGUGCAGUGUGAACGCACAAGGAAACAAAUAAUGGGAGGGGGGAGGGAAGGAGAAGUAGUGUAUGUAUUUUCAGCACGAAAUGAAACAGGUGCGAUCAUACCAGCACAAAUGCACCAGAUCCCAUCAGAACUCUGUAGUUAAGUUUGCUUUGGCGAAAGUAGUACAAGGAUGGGUUACCUCUAGGGAAGUUCUCGUGUUGCACCCUUUUUUUUCAGAUGGGUCGUUCGACAUUACGAGCGACUGGAACUAUGGUCCGCUGGUUUAUACGCAAAUGUGAGUCAAGACGUAAGGGCAUUUUACUUGAUAUUUGAACGAGAACGGGAGGUGCAGUGCGCACGCACAAGGAAACAAAUGAAGGGAGGGGGAAGAAAGGAGAAGGAGUGUAUGUAUUUGCAGCGCGAAAUUAAACAGGUGCGAUCAUACCAGCGCUAAUGCACUGGAUCCCAUUAGAACUCCGCAGUUAAGUGUGCUUGGGCGACAGUAGUACUCGUAUGGGUGACCUCUUGGGAAGUCUUGGUGUCGCACCAAUUUUUUUUUCAGACGGACCAUAGUUCCGCAGGUUUAUUGGCAAAUGUGAGUCACGGUGCCUUGGCAUUUUACUUGAUAUUAGAACGAGAACGGGAGGUGCAGUACGCACGCACAAGGAAACAAAGGACGGGAGGGGGAAGAAAGGAGAAGAAGUGUAUGUAUUUGCAGCGCGAAAUUAAAUUGUGCGAUCAUACCAGCACUAAUGCACCGGAUCCCAUCAAAACUCCGCAGUUAAGUGUGCUUGGGCGAGAGUAGUACUCGAAUGGGUGACCUCCUAGGACGUCCUCGUGUUGCACCCAUUUUUUUUCGGAUGGGUCGUUCGACGUUACGCACAAAUGAAAUUAUGAACCGCUGGUUCAUUAGCAUACGUGAGUCACAGUACGGGGGCAUUUUACUUGAUAUUAGAACGAGUAGGAGAGAUGCAGGGUGCACGCACAAGAAGAAAGAGUGUAUGUCUUUGCAGCACAUAAUGAAACAUGAGCGAUCAUACCACCACUAAUGCAAUGGAUUCUAUUAGAACUCUGCAAGUUAAGGGUGCUUUGGCGAGAGUAGUACUAGGAUGGGUGACCUCCUGCGAAGUCCUUAUAUUUCUCCCAUUUUCUUGGGAAAUCCUCGUGUUGCACCCAUUUUUUUGCAGAUGAUUCUUUCGACGUUAUGUGCGACUUGAAUUAUUGUUUGCAGGAUUAUU
rnacentral:lncRNA from 1 species